rnacentral:rRNA from 1 species
CCUACGGGGGGCAGCAGUCGAGAAUCAUUCACAAUGGGGGAAACCCUGAUGGUGCGACGCCGCGUGGGGGAAUGAAGGUCUUCGGAUUGUAAACCCCUGUCAUGUGGGAGCAAAUUAAAAAGAUAGUACCACAAGAGGAAGAGACGGCUAACUCUGUGCCAGCAGCCGCGGUAAUACAGAGGUCUCAAGCGUUGUUCGGAAUCACUGGGCGUAAAGCGUGCGUAGGCUGUUUCGUAAGUCGUGUGUGAAAGGCGCGGGCUCAACCCGCGGACGGCGCAGGAUACUGCGAGACUAGAGUGAUGGAGGGGGAAGCGGAAUUCGCGGUGUAGCAGUGAAAUGCGUAGAUAUCGAGAGGAACACUCGUGGCGAAGGCGGGUUCCUGGACAUUAACUGACGCUGAGGCACGAAGGCCAGGGGAGCGAAAGGGAUUAGAUACCCUUGUAGUC